UACGUAGGUUCCAAGCGUUACCCGGUUUUAUUGGGCGUAAAGGGUCUGUAGGUGGUUUUCUAAGUCCUGUUUUAAAGCCUCCAACUCAAUUGGAGAUAGGGGCAGGAUACUGGAUGACUAGAAUUAUAUCGGAGUAACUGGAAUUUUUAGUGUAGGGGUAAAAUCCGUGGAUACUAAAAAGAACACCAAGAGCGAAGGCGGGUUACUAGGUAUUAAUUGACACUCAUAGACGAAAGCUAGGGGAGCAAAUCAG
rnacentral:rRNA from 1 species